GAUGAAGAACGUAGCGAAAUGCGAUAAGUAAUGUGAAUUGCAGAAUUCAGUGAAUCAUCGAAUCUUUGAACGCACCUUGCACUCCUUGGUAUUCCGAGGAGUACGCCUGUUCGAGUGUUAUGAAGCUCUCAAAACGCAAUUGGCUUAAAACCUGAUUGUUGUUUUGGAUUUGAACUUUGCCGUGUUAUAACGGCUGGUUUUAAAAGUAUUAGCUGGUACUAGAACGAAUUGGUUCUACUCAACGUGAUAAUUAUCUGAUCGUUGAGGACAUUCCUUUCACGAGGAAUGGCCAUAGUAAAUUCAAUGGACUGCUUCUAAUCUGGCUUUAAUUCUUUAUUGGAUUAACCACUUUUCAAAUCUGACCUCGAAUCAGGUGGGACUACCCGCUGAACUUAAGGAUAUCAAUAAGCGGAGGA
rnacentral:misc_RNA from 1 species